AUUGUCGAUAAAUGCAGUAAACAACAGGCUGCUUUCUCUCAGAAGAAGUUAUAUGAAGUUGUCAUCCAUUUGACGUUGUGUACUGCAUUCUCCUUCAUCUUCUAUCAGAUUCUGCCAAGAUGUGCAGUAGUUUGGUCUUUCCACCCUCAUGGCAGAGUAAGAAGGAAUGCGAGCUCCUUCCCUAGGGCCUGUAUCUCCUCCAAGCCCACAGCCUGGCUCUGCACACAGGAAAAUGUGUGAAUGCUGUAACUCUGUCUCCUCCACUUCCAAAGCAGAAGAAUGGAAUCAACUGAGAUGAAGAAAAAUAAAAGAAGAAAAAAAGAGUGUUUACAGGGGAGACUUUGCAGCCAGAAGGAAGAUGGGUGCAAGGCCCUGCCUACGAAUGGGGAUCACUGCUUCUUUAAAGGACUAUUACCUGCAAUCUCUGCUCCCUCCAGCUGUAGACAAAGGCUGUCCUUGAUCUCCCCAGCUUGUUCAGCACCACAUGCUAACCAGGCACACCUGGAUCCACUGCUGAGUUUUUAGGUGUCAGAAAAUCCUGGAACCAAGAACCUCCAAUCACGUUUCAUCCUCUGGUUUCCCUGAAACUUUUAGUUACACCUUGAAGUUACUGGAAUACAUGUUCUGUUCAAGGUGAGCCCCACUUCCAAGCAACUUCUGUAGUAGCCAGUGCCUCAUGUCACCACUUUACUGCCACCUACUCAGACAUCUCUGUGGGAGGUUUGUGUAACCAUAUAUAAACUUUUCAUGGAGAUCAGCUGAGACCUCAUGGCAGAGAUGUCAUUUGAACCAACUGGAAAUUACUUCGCCCCACAACACAACAGAUACCUUCUACUCCUUCCACAGCCCUGCUGAGCUCCUGAAGAUGCCUGGAAGAAUUUGCUGCAUUUCUGGCCCCAGAGGCUGUUAUGGAGAACACCAGUUGAGUUGGAUCGAAACAGAAGGACCCAUUUCAUCACUAACCACGUCUAAAUUACUUAAUUUCUUGGCUGGAUGGCAGAGAAAUAUCUUUACAAAACUGGUAAAUGACCAUGACUACCUCUCCAAAAAAUGAUCUCCUAAGAGUAAUUCAGAUGCUGUAAGAGAAAUGUACUCUCACAAAAAGCAGCUUUUCCAAACCCCUGUCGUC